GAUGAACGCUAGCGGCAGGCUUAAUACAUGCAAGUCGAGGGGCAUCAAGGUACACGAAAGUGUAUUGUUGGCGACCGGCGGACGGGUGAGUAAUAGGUAGGUAACCUACCUCAUACUGAGGCAUAGCUGGGAGAAAUUCCAGGUAAUUCCUCAUGAGGUUAUAUGACACAUGUGAUAUAAUCAAAGGUAUCGCAAGGUACUGGUAUGAGAUGGGCUUACUGACCAUUAGCUAGUUGGUGAGAUAAGAGCUCACCAAGGCGAAGAUGGUUAGGGGUUUUGAGAGAGAGAUCCCCCACAUUGGAACUGAGAUACGGUCCAGACUCCUACGGGAGGCAGCAGUAGGGAAUAUUGGGCAAUGGGCGGAAGCCUGACGGAGCAACGCCGCGUGGGUGAAGAAGGCCUCGGUGUAAGCCUGUCUUAUGGGACGAGGAGGAGACGGUACCGAUAGGAGGAAGACCGACGGCUAACUACGUGCCAGCAGCCGCGGU
rnacentral:rRNA from 1 species